rnacentral:lncRNA from 1 species
UAAUAAGCUGCGUUUCGUCUUCUACUUUUUACUAUAAAAAUACCCCUGCGCAGUAGCGUUGCGCUAUACUUCCCUUCAAUACUACCAAUACACACACACACUCACAUUUUUAGCUUUAUUUGUGUAAUUCCAGCUAUACAUUUAUGGUAUAUAACGGCUAAUACAUAUGCUUUUAUGCACAUACACCAAUAGCUUUUGCGCGCACUGUAGUAUAAAAGGGGUAAAACGCCGACGCAGUCUAUACAUGCAUACAUACUACACAAACACACACACAUGUAUAUACAGAAGUUAUUGCACGAUUUCCACUCACGUUGAAGUUGCGCUUAGCGGCGCCUUAGCUUUAAAUUUGCUCACUCAAAAGUCAAAGUGUGUGUGCAGCUUUCUGUUGAGCGACUGCGAAAUGCAUGCAUGCCAAGCGCUCACUUAAACCAACGCGCUUUCGUACAUAUGAGUAUGUGUGUGCAUUGGUGAGCGCGUUUUGCUUGUAUGCGCUUGCAAAUCCACCAAUGAUCCGCGUUGCAGUUCAUUGCGCCGUCGUUGAACGUCGCGCGUCGCGUCACAGUCGCAGCAGCGCGUCAGCGUUAUUGUCACUGCUGCCAUGGCCAUAUUGCCACUGUUCUUUGACUUUGUUGCGUGCGGCGGCACGACAUUUAAAUCCAACCAAAGCGAGCGCAAUGCGCCAACCAAACGCGUCUGAUGCAAGCGCAUGUUUAGUUGUUCGGUUUGUACGGCGGCGCGUUCAUGCUAUUUAGUAAUUGAAAGCAAAAAAUAGCAGUGAUAAAUAUUAAUAAUUUAAAUAUUUGCAAAAAUAAAUGUAUGCGUGCAAUUAGUUUUGUGUAUUUUGUUAGAGCACUAUGCGUCGCUUAUUCCGUUGAACAGGUUCUACAAAUAACACUACCGAAAACAAAUCUAUAACGAAAGAGUGCCAAUUUAGUGUUGCAAAAUUUUGUACGCUCAGCCAACGCGCGCUCACUACAAAUUGCACAGCGCGCUGCUCCAUCGCCAGCGCUUCGCUUUACAUGUAGUAUGUCAUGUGAGUGAGUUAGUAUGGCGCUUGCAUUCGAGCCCUUUUCACAUUGCGAACAAAGACAUUGAGCAGCGCUGCACUUUUUUCUACGCGUUGCGCCUGCACUGUGUAUGCUUGUCUUGGAGAAUUUCUUUUUGUUCCUGCUAUAUAGCAGUCGCUCAGCGCACACAUUUUUGCACUCGCAUACGCGGGAGCGCUCCUGAGCAACGCCAGCUUCAGCGCGCACCGUCGUAGGUGCCGCACACCCCACAACCCAAGCGAUAGGCCUUUGCACAUAUACAUAUUGGUGCAACCACUACACCUACAGUGGCGCGCUCAGCUGCCGCUCGCUGUACUUUUGCUGGCGAAUUUGAAGUUCUUGGCCGUCUUGUCGUCCGGUAGCAAUGCACUCGACGCGGCGCUUUUCACCGACCUCGCUGACUGCAUAAAUGAAGAGAGCAAAAAUUAAAAAAAAUAAUAAAAUUAAAAAAAAAUAAUAAAACUUAAAAAAAAAUAAAUAAAUAACUGUUUCGAGCAAAAUGUGCACAAAAAAAUUAAUUAAAUUUCGAAAAACCAAACACGUUAAAUAUUAUAGCACGAAAUACUGCCGACGUAAACAUUACCGUAAUGAAGUGCGUAGAGCGUAUAAACGCCGCUGGCUGCCAGCAUUGCGUGUGAUAACAAAAACAUAUGCAUAUAGAGUAUACAUAAGUUCAGCGAAAAUUACAAUCAAUUAUGAAAUGAAAAUUCUCGCAAAAAUAAACCAAUUUUCGUUUACGAAAAGCUGAAAGCAAAGUGUAAUAAGAAAAGUGCAAAAGUGCAAGCUCAGAUAUUCUCAUAUACCGAAUAUACAUAUAUAGUAUACUAUAUAUACGUGAAAAUAUAUUACUCAGGUUCGCCGAUCGAUGCUUCGACGCUUCGACGCUUUUGGACCCUACCUCAAUGCAACUCGUUACUUACAAAUAAUGUGUAUACCGACUGUACGCAAGUGAAUUUCUAUACUAUACGAGUGUAUUUACGGACUAAGUUCUAUGUAGUGGCUCAUAGCAGAAUCUAUGUGUUUGAGAAUAUGUACACCUACAACAGGAAGUACAUUUUUAAUUUUGAAAUGCAAUUUACAUUAAUUUAAAAUAUAUUACAGCCGUACUUAGUACUCGCUUUUGUGCAAUUUAGUUAAUUGAAUUUUUCGCUUGCAAGAAAUGGCGACGGCAUUCGGUAAUGAUUAGCACGAGCAUUCGCUUACGAAAGCUUACUAUACAACAAAAUUGUCAACGCCGACGGCAUAAACAAAUGACUAAAGAGCAAAGGUGCUAAAAAAAAUCAGCAAAACAAAAACCGGAGGGCCUUAAUGAGGUUUUUAAAAUAGAACAGGUUUCAUAGAUUUGGUUCAACGGAAUGUCUCAGAUUUGCAUAAGUUAAGAAGGAAGAAUGGAACCCGAAUAAUUCAAAGCUUCGAGGUCUGCUUAAAGCUUUAACUGCUACUAGGCAAUAAAAAUUGUUAUAAAUGACGGCAGUGGCACGUAUUCUCAGUAUUCAAAAACGUUGUACAGGAAUAUUUUUGAAGCCGAGUUCCUCUUUCUACUACGUAAA